CGGAAGUAGUUCAGUGGUAGAAUACAACCUUGCCAAGGUUGGGGUCGCGGGUUCGAAUCCCGUCUUCCGCUCCA
rnacentral:tRNA from 1 species